AUUGAACGCUGGCGGCAUGCCUAACACAUGCAAGUCGAACGGGGGCAGCAAUGCCCUAGUGGCGGACGGGUGAGGAAUACGUAGGAACCGGCCCACGAGUGGGGGACAACCUGGGGAAACCCAGGCUAAUACCGCAUACGCUCGCGAGAGGAAAGCGGGGGGACCUUCGGGCCUCGCGCUGGUGGACGGGCCUACGUCCGAUUAGCUUGUUGGUGGGGUAAAAGCCUACCAAGGCGACGAUCGGUAGCUGGUCUGAGAGGAUGAUCAGCCACACUGGGACUGAGACACGGCCCAGACUCCUACGGGAGGCAGCAGUGGGGAAUAUUGGACAAUGGGCGCAAGCCUGAUCCAGCAAUGCCGCGUGGGUGAAGAAGGCCUGCGGGUUGUAAAGCCCUUUAAGCGGGAGGAAAGCCGGGGGUGGAAUAGCGCCUCGGGGUGACGUUACCCGCAGAAUAAGCACCGGCUAACUCCGUGCCAGCAG
rnacentral:rRNA from 1 species